rnacentral:rRNA from 1 species
ACAUGCAAGUCGAACGAAGCACCUGAGAAUGAUUCUUCGGAUGAAGUCUCUUGUGACUGAGUGGCGGACGGGUGAGUAACGCGUGGGUAACCUGCCUCACACAGGGGGAUAACAGUUGGAAACGACCGCUAAUACCGCAUAAGCCGCCGGUGCCGCAUGGCACUGACGGAAAAGAUUUUAUCGGUGUGAGAUGGACCCGCGUCUGAUUAGCCAGUUGGCAGGGUAACGGCCUACCAAAGCGACGAUCAGUAGCCGGCCUGAGAGGGUGAACGGCCACAUUGGGACUGAGACACGGCCCAGACUCCUGCGGGAGGCAGCAGUGGGGAAUAUUGCACAAUGGGGGAAACCCUGAUGCAGCGACGCCGCGUGAGUGAAGAAGUAUUUCGGUAUGUAAAGCUCUAUCAGCAGGGAAGAAAAUGACGGUACCUGAUUAAGAAGCCCCGGCUAACUACGUGCCAGCAGCCGCGGUAAUACGUAGGGGGCAAGCGUUAUCCGGAUUUACUGGGUGUAAAGGGAGCGUAGACGGUGNAUGCAGUCAGAAGUGAAAGCCCGGGGCUCAACUCCGGGACUGCUUUUGAAACUGUGUGACUGGAGUGCANGAGAGGUAAGCGGAAUU